CAUACCAUCAAUCUCAGCCCGGCUGGGCAUCUCCGGGUGGGGACUCCUUUUGGGUAGUUUCAAGGGGGGCCAUCCCGGCUUUACUAAGCCACCCUGUUAAUUGAAUGCGUAGAGUGUCUUGCUCGGGGUGAUCGCACGCAAGGAACACAACUUUCAACAUUGGAUCUAUGGGCUCUUGCUCAGAUGAAGAACACAGAGAAAUGCGAUUCACAAUUGAAUUGCUGAUUUCAGCGAAGCAGAAAAUCUUUGAACACUCCGAGCGCCCGUGGGCAUUCCGGGGGGCACUCCCGUAUGAGAGUUGUGACAUCCCCAAACCCUCUUGGUUUUUCCACCAGGGAAGGCUUUUGACUGUCAGGUUUUUCCUCGAGCCACUUUGUUGGAGCCAGCUCUUUUGAAACAAAUUAGUGGGGUCUCCUUUGACGAUCCUUGGCGUGAUAAGAUAUUUGUUUACGAGCCGAG
rnacentral:rRNA from 1 species